rnacentral:rRNA from 1 species
GAUGAACGCUAGCUACAGGCUUAACACAUGCCAGUCGCAGGGUAACAUGAGGAAAGCUUGCUUUCCUUGAUGACGACUGGCGCACGGGUGAGUAACGCGUAUCCAACCUUCCCAUAACUACGGGAUAACCCGUUGAAAGACGGCCUAAUACCGUAUGAUAUCGUUUGCUGACAUCAAAUAACGAUUAAAGGUUUAGCGGUUAUGGAUGGGGAUGCGUCUGAUUAGCUUGUUGGCGGGGUAACGGCCCACCAAGGCGACGAUCAGUAGGGGUUCUGAGAGGAAGGUCCCCCACAUUGGAACUGAGACACGGUCCAAACUCCUACGGGAGGCAGGAGUGAGGAAUAUUGGUCAAUGGGCGAGAGCCUGAACCAGCCAAGUAGCGUGCAGGACGACGGCCCUAUGGGUUGUAAACUGCUUUUAUGUGGGGAUAAAGUGCGUGACGUGUCAUGCAUUGCAGGUACCACAUGAAUAAGGACCGGUUAAUUCCGUG